rnacentral:rRNA from 1 species
GUCUUAAUUGGGCGUUAAGUUGCAGGGUAUAGACCCGAAACCCGGUGAUCUAGCCAUGGGCAGGUUGAAGGUUGGGUAACACUAACUGGAGGACCGAACCGACUAAUGUUGAAAAAUUAGCGGAUGACCUGUGGCUGGGGGUGAAAGGCCAAUCAAACCGGGAGAUAGCUGGUUCUCCCCGAAAGCUAUUUAGGUAGCGCCUCGUGAAUUCAUCUCCGGGGGUAGAGCACUGUUUCGGCUAGGGGGCCAUCCCGGCUUACCAACCCGAUGCAAACUGCGAAUACCGGAGAAUGUUAUCACGGGAGACACACGGCGGGUGCUAACGUCCGUCGUGAAGAGGGAAACAACCCAGACCGCCAGCUAAGGUCCCAAAGUCAUGGUUAAGUGGGAAACGAUGUGGGAAGGCCCAGACAGCCAGGAUGUUGGCUUAGAAGCAGCCAUCAUUUAAAGAAAGCGUAAUAGCUCACUGGUCGAGUCGGCCUGCGCGGAAGAUGUAACGGGGCUAAACCAUGCACCGAAGCUGCGGCAGCGAACGUAUCACCCAAGACAACUUUACGGAGUUGACGAUUGACGGAGCGAAGCGACGUCAAAGCGUUCAUUAAAGUCGAGUUGGCUUAGGGAUACGUUCGUUGGGUAGGGGAGCGUUCUGUAAGCCUGUGAAGGUGUGUCGUGAGGC